rnacentral:rRNA from 1 species
UACAGAGGGUGCAAGCGUUAAUCGGAAUUACUGGGCGUAAAGCGUGCGCAGACGGUUGCGUAAGUCAGAUGUGAAAGCCCCGGGCUCAACCUGGGAAUUGCAUUUGAGACUGCGUAGCUAGGGUGCGGAAGAGGGAAGCGGAAUUUCCGGUGUAGCGGUGAAAUGCGUAGAUAUCGGAAGGAACACCAGUGGCGAAAGCGGCUUCCUGGUCCAGCACCGACGUCAGGCACGAAAGCGUGGGGAGCAAAC